rnacentral:rRNA from 1 species
UACGUAGGGAGCAAGCGUUUGUCCGGAAUCAUUGGGCGUAAAGCGCGCGUAGGCGGCCCUGUAAGUCCGCUGUGAAAGUCAAAGGCUCAACCUUUGAAUGCCGGUGGAUACUGCAGGGCUAGAGUCCGGAAGAGGCAAGUGGAAUUCCUGGUGUAGCGGUGGAAUGCGCAGAUAUCAGGAGGAACACCAACGGCGAAGGCAGCUUGCUGGGACGGUACUGACGCUAAGGCGCGAAAGCGUGGGGAGCGAACAGG